UCGGGAAUUUUGGGCAAUGGGCGAAAGCCUGACCCAGCAACGCCGCGUGAAGGAUGAAGUAUUUCGGUAUGUAAACUUCGUAAGAAUAGGAAGAAUAAAUGACGGUACUAUUUGUAAGGUCCGGCUAACUACGUGCCAGCAGCCGCGGUAAUACGUAGGGACCAAGCGUUGUUCGGAUUUACUGGGCGUAAAGGGCGCGUAGGCGGUGUGUCAAGUCAGUUGUGAAAUCUCCGAGCUUAACUCGGAACGGUCAACUGAUACUGUCACACUAGAGUACAGAAGGGGCAAUCGGAAUUCUUGGUGUAGCGGUGAAACGCGUAGAUAUCAAGAGGAACACCUGAGGCGAAGGCGGGUUGCUGGGCUGAUACUGACGCUGAGGCGCGAAAGCUAGGGUAGCAAACGGGAUUAGAUACCCCCGUAGUCCCUGAGCGGGCUGGCAAGGCGCAU
rnacentral:rRNA from 1 species